GAAAUAUACUGGUUCACCUGGAGUCACUUUGUCUGUCACAGGUCUCCAGGUGCAGGUGAGAAGAUCAGAUUCUACCUGGUUGGAGCUGACGUGUCACAGCAGCUGUGUUCUGUCUGAUCAUCCUGAAUACGACUGGUUCAAGAAUGAAGAGAACAUCAAGACAGGAUCUUCUCUUCUAGUCUCCUCUGGUUCUACAGACAGAUAUUCCUGUGAUUUAAGAGGAUCUUGGGAUAACGGUUCUCCUGCAGUGUAUGGUCCACAGCGUCCCUCUGUGUCAGUGAGUCCCUCUG